rnacentral:rRNA from 1 species
CAAACUGGGAUUAGAUACCCCACUAUGCCUGGCCCUAAAUCUUGAUGCUCGAUCUUACUGGAGCAUCCGCCCGAGAACUACGAGCACCAACGCUUAAAACUCUAAGGACUUGGCGGUGCCCCACAUCCACCUAGAGGAGCCUGUUCU